rnacentral:rRNA from 1 species
AUUGAACGCUGGCGGCAUGCUUUACACAUGCAAGUCGAACGGAUUUUGGAGCUUGCUCCAGAGUUAGUGGCGAACGGGUGAGUAAUAUAUCGGAACGUACCCGGCAAUGGGGGAUAACGUAGCGAAAGUUACGCUAAUACCGCAUAUGCCCUGAGGGGGAAAGCAGGGGACCCGUAAUGGGCUUGCGUUUUCGGAGCGGCCGAUAUCGGAUUAGCUAGUUGGUGAGGGAAAGGCUCACCAAGGCGACGAUCCGUAGCGGGUCUGAGAGGAUGAUCCGCCACACUGGGACUGAGACACGGCCCAGACUCCUACGGGAGGCAGCAGUGGGGAAUUUUGGACAAUGGGCGAAAGCCUGAUCCAGCCAUGCCGCGUGAGUGAAGAAGGCCUUCGGGUUGUAAAGCUCUUUCAGGUGGAAAGAAAAGGUUACGGAUAAUACCUGUAACUGAUGACGGUACCAUCAGAAGAAGCACCGGCUAACUACGUGCCAGCCGCCGCCGUAA